AAAUUUGAGGUCUAAAUUGGUGUGAUAUUUUAACCAGAGGGAGAAAUUCAACUGACAAGACUUAUGCAAAAGACAAGUAACAGAAGUGUUUAGGUGGAGAAGUAUAACCUGAAGAGAAGAUUCUUACUCCUUUUGUUAAAAAAAAGGACACAACUGACUACAUGCCUCCAGAGAAAACUCCUGAUUCUCCUAAAAGAAAAUAAUUUUUCUAUAGAGAGAUGGGGCAUUUGGCAAGACUCCCAGAAUACUCACCCCACUACCUGGAGAAGAAGAAUAAGAGUCUGGGCUGUACAGCCUUCAUUGAAUUUAAAGAUAUGUCUGCCACCUAAUGAUGAGCUGGGGAACAUAAUCAUCUCUGUUAUCUCUCUAUCUCCAGUGGUUUCCACAGUGCUUGUCACAUGGUAGGUGCUUGGUAAUUGCAUUUGGUGACAAUGAUACAAAAACAAUUAAGACAUAACUGUUGUCCUCAAAGAGUGAGUAGAAAUAAUUAAUGCAAUCAGAUAGUGUCUGUAACAGAUACAUGUGGAAAGUUCUAUGGACAUAUAGGAAGAGUGAUUAAAUCUCAAUGGGACUUUGCCCAUGUAAAGAGAAAUCAGAGGUAUCUCCAGAUAAAUAUAUAUCUUUUAAACAAAUUUUUGCAGUUUGUGUAGAAAUUAG
rnacentral:lncRNA from 1 species